GACGAACGCUGGCGGCGUGCCUAAUACAUGCCAGUCGAGCGAGCUUGCCUAGAUGAAUUUGGUGCUUGCACCAGAUGAAACUAGAUACAAGCGAGCGGCGGACGGGUGAGUAACACGUGGGUAACCUGCCCAAGAGACUGGGAUAACACCUGGAAACAGAUGCUAAUACCGGAUAACAACACUAGACGCAUGUCUAGAGUUUAAAAGAUGGUUCUGCUAUCACUCUUGGAUGGACCUGCGGUGCAUUAGCUAGUUGGUAAGGCAACGGCUUACCAAGGCAAUGAUGCAUAGCCGAGUUGAGAGACUGAUCGGCCACAUUGGGACUGAGACACGGCCCAAACUCCUACGGGAGGCAGCAGUAGGGAAUCUUCCACAAUGGACGCAAGUCUGAUGGAGCAACGCCGCGUGAGUGAAGAAGGGUUUCGGCUCGUAAAGCUCUGUUGGUAGUGAAGAAAGAUAGAGGUAGUAACUGGCCUUUAUUUGACGGUAAUUACUUAGAAAGUCACGGCUAACUACGUG
rnacentral:rRNA from 1 species